UACGAAGGACCCGAGCGUUAUCCGGAUUUAUUGGGUUUAAAGGGUGCGUAGGCGGAUUAAUAAGUCAGUGGUGAAAGCCUGCAGCUUAACUGCAGAAUUGCCGUUGAUACUGUUAGUCUUGAGUACAGUUGAAGUGGGCGGAAUGUGUCAUGUAGCGGUGAAAUGCUUAGAUAUGACACAGAACACCGAUUGCGAAGGCAGCUCGCUAAACUGUAACUGACGCUGAGGCACGAAAGCGUGGGUAGCAAACAGG
rnacentral:rRNA from 1 species